AGCGCGGCGCUGGAGCUCUGUGUCUUGACUGUUUGCUCUUCUGCAGGGGAGGAGCACGGGGCAGAGAUCAUAUCCGUGACCAGUGGAGAGGAGGCGGAGGAGGUGCCGGGCGCGGUUGUCCUCCGUGCGCCGCCAUCAUCGCCCACCGGAGUGGUGGCGGAUAGCCCGAUCCGCCCUGAGUCCGCCACAACCAUGGAGCAAGACUCAUCCGGUUCCAGCGCGGGGACUUCGCGGGAGGAGGGGCGCAGGGCAGAGCUGGAGCGGGAGGCUGUGCCCAUAGCAGUGCGUGGGCAGGUCGCGGUGGAGGCCUGCCUCAGAGUGUUGAACCGAACCGAGGCGGCGGUGACCAGGAUGGCGGAGGAGAUCACGGCUAUUGGUCAAGCGGUCCAGGACAUGCGCCGGGACAUGGCCA